AGAGCUCAGAUUUGAAAUCUCACCUAGUGUGCGAGUUGUAAAUUGCAGGUUGGAGUCUCGGGUUAGACGUGUGUGCAAGUCCCUUGGAACAGGGUGCCACUGAGGGUGAGAGCCCCGUAUCGUGCAUGUCGACACCUGUGAGGCCCUUCUGACGAGUCGAGUUGUUUGGGAAUGCAGCUCUAAGUGGGUGGUAAAUUCCAUCUAAGGCUAAAUAUUGGCGAGAGACCGAUAGCGAACAAGUACUGUGAAGGAAAGAUGAAAAGCACUUUGAAAAGAGAGUGAAACAGCACGUGAAAUUGUUGAAAGGGAAGGGUAUUGGGCUCGACAUGGGAUUUACGCAUCGUUGCCUCUCGUGGGCGGCGCUCUGGGUUUUUCCUGGGCCAGCAUCGGUUUUCGUUGCAGGAUAAGGACAAUUGGAAUGUGGCUCCUCGGAGUGUUAUAGCCUUUUGUAGAUGCUGCGUAUGGGGACCGAGGGCUGCGGCGGACUCGUUUCGUCUCGGAUGCUGGCACAACGGCGCAAUACCGC
rnacentral:rRNA from 1 species